ensembl:lncRNA
UGACGUUCAAAUAAACCUGUAACACAGAAAGAGAAACAGGCAGGGAGAAAGGCCCACCCACCCAGUCCAAAAUAAACCUCUCAGUCACUUACCACGGUGAUAAAUAUAUCUGCCGAGAGUACAUUCCAGUCGAGUUCCCGUGAUGGAGCUAAAGCCUGCCUCCCCGGCCCCGGCCAAACUAAUGUUUUCAGCCACAGCACGUCUCUAUUUGAUUGUCAGCCAUUACUAGCAACUGUGACAUCUGCUACUCAUGAAGUCAGAGAGAAAGAGACAGGGAGACAGGGAGGGCAUGACGGCUUUCUGUAUGUCACCAAUCUGAAGGAAAUCAUCUUUUUACUUUGGGAUUUGUUAAAUACAAAGCUGCCUUCACGGAGGCAUCUACGAGAAAGCUGAUCAUAAAAUGUAUAUUCAAUUUUAACUUGUCCUAGCUGUGGUCUAUUCAAAGAUUAGCCAGACCACAUCAAAUGUGUGUUUCAUUCAUUCAUCGUCUCCUGGACUGAAGCAACCUCUGCAAAACAACAAUAUGUUGCCAC